AUUGAACGCUGGCGGCAGGCCUAACACAUGCAAGUCGAGCGAGCGGCGGACGGGUGAGUAAUGUAUGGGGACUGCCCGAUAGAGGGGGAUAACUACUGGAAACGGUGGCUAAUACCGCAUACCAUCGGAUAACCCAUAUGGGAUUAGCUAGUAGGUGGGGUAAAGGCUCACCUCGGCGAAGAUCUCUAGCUGGUCUGAGAGGAUGAUCAGCCACACUAGGACUGAGCCACGGUCCAGAUUCCUCCGGAGACAGCAGUGAUGAAUAUUGCCCAAUGGGCGCAAGCCUGAUGGUGCCAUCCCGCGUGUAUGAGAAAGACCUUAGGCUUGUAAAGUACUUUCAGCGGGGAUGCGUUACCCGCAGAAGAAGCACCGGCUAACUCCGUGCCAGCAGCCGCGGUAAUUC
rnacentral:rRNA from 1 species